rnacentral:rRNA from 1 species
AGGAGGCAGCAGUAAGGAAUGUUGGUCAAUGGAGGCAACUCUGAACCAGCCAUGCCGCGUGCAGGAAGACAGCCCUCUGGGUCGUAAACUGCUUUUAUUCGGGAAUAAACCUACUUACGUGUAAGUAGCUGAAUGUACCGAAGGAAUAAGGAUCGGCUAACUCCGUGCCAGCAGCCGCGGUAAUACGGAGGAUCCAAGCGUUAUCCGGAUUUAUUGGGUUUAAAGGGUGCGUAGGCGGCUUUUUAAGUCAGGGGUGAAAGACGGUAGCUCAACUAUCGCAGUGCCCUUGAUACUGAAGAGCUUGAAUGAACUAGAGGUAGGCGGAAUGUGACAAGUAGCGGUGAAAUGCAUAGAUAUGUCACAGAACACCGAUUGCGAAGGCAGCUUACUAUGGUUUAAUUGACGCUGAGGCACGAAAGCGUGGGGAUCAAACAGGAUUAGAUACCCCAGUAGUCCC